ensembl:lncRNA
UCCUGGGAACCAAUUUUCUGUAUGUGUUUUAUUGCCUUUUUCAAGUGAUUUAACAUUUUUAGUUUUUCACUAACCACGCAUAACACUUUUUAUUAUCAAAACACAAUCAUGUACAUACAUGCUGCUCACAUAUUAUUAUAGCCCAGUUUGUGCUGAUUACAGUGAGAUUAGACUUUAGCCAUUUAGAUUUUUAUAAGAAACUGAAAAAAGCACAAAUGUCAGGGCAUGACAAAACUUCUCCAGGCCCCAAAAAUACCCUUAGACUCCAGAGGGUUAAAACAACGCUCUCACAAACACAAGACGUGAGACAAGCCAUAUAUAGGGAGAGGAUAAUGAGUGACAGCUGCUGCUGAUGACAAUUAACGGAGACGCCCACAAGCUAAUCAGUGCAGACGCGAAACACACAGAUUUCACCACAAAGUGCAAAACCCAGAGAUCACGGUUUACCAACCGUGACAGUACCCCCCCCUCUAAGAACGCCUCCUGGAGUUCCCAGAAGGUCCUACCUGCUGAUUGUAAUCAUCAAUAAGGGAGUGAUCCAAUAUGUCCCUAGCAGGUACCCAACUCCUCUCCUCCCGACCGUAACCUUCCCAGUCCACCAAGUACUGGAAUCCUCGCCCCCUCCGCCUCGAGUCCAGAAUGCGAUUAACCGAAUAGGUCGGUUCCCCAUCUACGAGACGCGGCGGCGGGGGAACCGGAGUAGGCGGAUUAAUACGUGCAUAAAACACGGGUUUAAUUUUGGACACAUGAAAGGCGGACAUCGCGUUGUUUUCAUAUGGAUUACUUUAUCACAGAAUAUUUGUUUUUGGUAGCACAGUUUAAAAGUAGACACGUCAAGCUUUCUAUAGAUAUAUCUCUCAUGUCUCUGUGUUGAGUAUUUACUGAGUUACAGUUCAUUUUAAUGACGCGUUUCCGAAUGAAGAUCACCGCAGACCAAGGCUGCAGACAGCGCAUUCUGUUUGUUUUCUUUAUUUUAUAAAUGCACAAAGUUUUGUUGUUAUUAUGUGUGUAUACAAAUAAAAGUAGACCCUUUACAGAUUCGAUUGAUGUAUUGCUCUUAUCUGUACGAUCAAAACUGAAAGUGUAAUUUAAGUUCUUUUCGGGGUUAUCAGGAGAAAAUGCCUCAUAACGCGUAUACGCGUUAAUCGACUCCUCAGGGUUAAAGAAUGCCGAAUCGAAUGGUUAAUCAAAUCAACUCGGAUUUAAUUGUGAAUCGAAUCGAAUCGUUCUGAAUUUGCAAAAAUCGUUCUUGAAUCGAAUCGAAAACCUGUCUACCCAAAGAUUCACAGCCCUAGUCACAGUGUUGCUGCAAGCUAUAGACACUGGUGUGGUGUUGGACUGUGUUUGAUUAAGUGGUCCGGCACCUUUUGCAGAUUCUCUUUCUGCAGCAGAAGCAGAUUCCAACAGGAAUGACAAGCAGCAGCAGAGCUAUAAGACGUUUAUUAGGGCCAAACUUAUGUUGAUCUACAUAGAUAUUUGGAGAGAUGAGAGAAGAACAGACAUCAAGAGAUGUACUAAUGCAUGUGAAUGAAAUCUCUAAAAUGAAAUCAGCAAGACACAGGCAUCCAAACAAACAAUUUAUGUGAAUAUCCACUACCA